UUCUUUAAGAUUUAUUUAAUUUAAGGUAUUUUCUGCCCUAUGAUUUUUAGAAUUUAAAUGGCUGCAGUAUAUUGACUGUGCAAAGGUAGCAUAAUAAUUAGUCUUUUAAUUGAGGACUUGUAUGAAUGGAUAAAUGAGGUAUUAAUUUUAUUAUUUUUAUUAUUAAAAUUUUAUUUAUUAGUAAAAAAGCUAAUUUGAUUUUUAGGGACGAUAAGACCCUAUAGAACUUAAAAUUUUUUGAGGUUAAAGUUUUUUGGUUAAUUAAAUAUUUUUUAUUAUCAUAUUUUUAGUUGGGGUGAUUGGUAAAUUAGUCAAUCUUUGUUUUUUUUUAUCAUUAAUUUAUGUUAUAUUGAUCCUUAAUAAAGAUUAUAAGAUAAGUUACCUUAGGGAUAACAGCGUUAUUUUAAUGGAAAGUUCAUAUUUAUAUUAAAUUUUGCGACCUCGAUGUUGAAUUAAACUAGUUUAAGGUGUAGAGGCUUUAAUUUCAAGUCUGUUCGACUUUUAAAAUUUUACA
rnacentral:rRNA from 1 species